rfam:Picea glauca, whole genome shotgun sequence.
AUGUGCAUUCCUACAACAUAGCAUUAAUGCAACAGAUCUCAUUAGAACUCCGCAAUUAAGCACGCUCAAACUAGAUUAGUACUGGGAUGAGUGACUACCCAAGAAGUCCUAGUGUUUCACAGU